rnacentral:rRNA from 1 species
UACGUAGGGAGCAAGCGUUGUCCGGAUUUACUGGGCGUAAAGGGCGCGUAGGCGGCUUGUUAAGUGAAUGGUGAAAUUCCCAGCGCUCAACGCGGGAACUGCCCUUCAUACUGGCAAGCUAGAGGGACGUAGAGGUGAAUAGAAUUCCCGGUGUAGCGGUGACAUGCGAACAUAUCGGGAGGAAUACCAAUGGCGAAGGCAGUUCACUGGACGUUUCCUGACGCUGAGGCGCGAAAGCGUGGGUAGCAAACAGG